ACUCAAAGGAAUUGACGGGGGCCCGCACAAGCGGUGGAGCAUGUGGUUCAAUUCGACGCAACGCGAAGAACCUUACCUGGGCUCGAACGGCUUCUCAACGACGGUAGAAAUAUCGUUAUCCCGCAAGGGAGUGGAGUCGAGGUGCUGCAUGGCUGUCGUCAGCUCGUGUCGUGAGAUGUUGGGUUAAGUCCCGCAACGAGCGCAACCCUUGUCCUGUUUUGCCAUCAUUAAGUUGGGAACUAUCAGGAGACCGCCAGCGAUAAGUUGGAGGAAGGUGGGGAUGACGUCAAGUCAUCAUGGCCUUUAUGUCCAGGGCUACACACGUGCUACAAUGGCCGGUACAAACCGUCGCAAAGCCGCGAGGCCAAGCUAAUCGGAGAAAACCGGUCUCAGUUCGGAUUGCAGGCUGCAACUCGCCUGCAUGAAGCUGGAAUCGCUAGUAAUGGCGUAUCAGAACGACGCCGUGAAUACGUUCCCGGGCCUUGCACACACCGCCCGU
rnacentral:rRNA from 1 species